GCUGGUGAGGGAAGUGGCAGCUUAACCAAGUGUAAGGUUUCUGUUUGCUGAGGCACCUCUACAGAUGACUGAAGAAUGCUUGGGAGGAUAAACACCUACUGGUUUACUUACAGAUAAACUUGGAGGUCUCUAGAAACCAGUUGUGUGACAACAACCUAGCAACUUCCUCUGAAGUUGUGCUCUUGGGAUGGCAAGAAAGAGAAGUACAGAAGAGGGGCCAACACGUUCUUUUGUGAGACUGUAAGCUCUCUAAGUGCUGGGAUGACGUCUUCAUUCAUUCAUAUGUUCAUUUAUGGAGCAAACAUUUAAUGCACAGCUACUAUGUGUGUGACACUUUAUUAAGCCCUGGGAGAUGCGAAGA